CGGGAGGCAGCAGUGGGGAAUCUUAGACAAUGGGGGAAACCCUGAUCUAGCCAUGCCGCGUGAGUGAUGAAGGCCCUAGGGUCGUAAAGCUCUUUCGCCAGGGAUGAUAAUGACAGUACCUGGUAAAGAAACCCCGGCUAACUCCGUGCCAGCAGCCGCGGUAAUACGGAGGGGGUUAGCGUUGUUCGGAAUUACUGGGCGUAAAGCGCGCGUAGGCGGAUUAGAAAGUUGGGGGUGAAAUCCCGGGGCUCAACCCCGGAACUGCCUCCAAAACUACUAGUCUAGAGUUCGAGAGAGGUGAGUGGAAUUCCGAGUGUAGAGGUGAAAUUCGUAGAUAUUCGGAGGAACACCAGUGGCGAAGGCGGCUCACUGGCUCGAUACUGACGCUGAGGUGCGAAAGUGUGGGGAGCAAACAGGAUUAGAUACCCUGGUAGUCCACGCCGUAAACGAUGAUCACUCGUUGCUAGCGAUACACUGUUAGUGACCAAGCGAAAGUGUUAAGUGAUCCACCUGGGAAGUACGUUCGCAAGAAUGAAACUCAAAUGAAUUG
rnacentral:rRNA from 1 species